UUUACACUAAAGUGGACGACGACGGGUCCUUCCCUGUGCUGGCGACGGCGAGGUUCAGAGGAUUAGGCGGCUGGCACCAGGCGUGGAUUGCGGCGGGAUUUAGAUGCGCGUCGGGGCUCAGUCUUAUACCCAGGGCCAAUGCCAACCACCCGACCAAGAUCCAUGGAGAUCCCCAGGGCAGAAUUUAGGCUGGAUUUGUUGGCACGCCCCGAUUCCUACGGUGAGGACGACGCCCCUGACCCGCCCACAGUCAGAAGAGGAGCGCCAUUGACACGAGAACACCGCAAGGGAAGGGCGCUGGCGAGCAGGCCUCGAUCAUCAUUGGCACCAAUGCGCGUGGGCGCGAAGACUGGGCUGGCACGGUGAUGUGGUCGGUUGGGCAGAAUCGGCCCACAGUGUAGGCGUCCACACAGGCGCUGUUCUGCCCGCCGCGAGCACGCCGCGAUUUCUCCACGCGCAGCCCCCGCAAUCCGCUGCCUUUCCAUCCGCGCCCGCAAUCCUUUCCAUCCACGGCUGCAAUCCGCCGCGCCAAAUCCACCGCCACGCCCCUGCGCCCGCAACGCCCGCCCCUGCGCCAAAUCCUCCUUGGACGCGCCCCGACGGCUGGCGCAACCCUGCUCGUGCCACGACUUGCGUAGAAUGGAAGGUAUGUGGCGCAACUCCUCCUUGAUUGAGCGGAGAAUGGAAGGUCACCGUACGGCAUUGGUCGAGAGGAGGAGGUUGAGGAUGGAUGCCCGCAACGCCACUGCGCCAACCCCGUGAAAUCCGCAACGCCCGCCCCUGCGCCAAUGGAAGGUCUGUUGCCAAAUCCCGCGGAUGGAAGGUGGCGGAUGGAGGUGGCACGCACCUUCCAUCCCCGCGGUGCGCACCUUCAUCCUCCGCGACCGCCCGCGGAUCUCCAAAGCAGCACGGCGCACGUGUUGAGGGCGUGGGGAGGAGGUGCGCGGCCGCCAUCAACGCUCUCCUACCCAUCUGGUCCGCGAUCCUCGCUCACCUUCCAUCGACGACGCCGCAUCGACCUCGGCAACCUCUGCCCACCUACAAGAACAACCGAUUCAACCACUGCUCCCUAUAACUCUCCCCAUUGCUGCAGAUUCAACCACUGCUCCCCUACAUCCGCGCCCUCAAUAGGUUUGGUUGGUGCAAGGUGAUUCUUCACUGUGACGGCAACGCCAACAGCGAGCUGGGAGGUACAGAGUUCAUGCCCAUACCAUUUAGGUUAUUCUUAGCCUGCCCAUACCAGUUUGAUUUCAUUUUUCGUCCAUGUUUCAGUUGAUAUGCUUGUGUGUAUUGGUGGUUUGUAUUGGGGUAUAAAGUUUAUAUGCAUUCUACCGGUAUAUAUCGGUUGAUGCUAAUAUUUAGAUAAAAUAUUAGUGGGGAGGUAUUAGACACUCUAUCUGUAGAUUCGAAGGCCUUGUGGCCCCAAACUCAUAAAUAUAAGGUUUAAGCUAUAAAUGGUACUACAUGAUGCAGUGCACAUCUUCAUCUAUAUGGGGUCUCAAGGCUAUAGAUCCUUGCUCUCCUUCCUUUAAAAUAAUAUACUUGUACAUACAUACCAGUACACCACAAACAUAUCAUCAGACAAAUUAAUUACUUGACUUUUUGAAAAUAUAAAUCAACCUUGAUAACAUAACUGGACAAUUAAAGAAAACAAAAUUGUUUGUGUUGUUGGUAGAGAGUUUGGAUUUCUAAAAGCUUUGCACCAAUCGUCAUUCCCAUGACCCUUCCACAUGUGCUUAUACCAUUUAGGUUAUUCUUAGCCUGCCCAUACCAGUUUGAUUUCAUUUUUCGUCUAUGUUUCAGUUGAUAUGCUUGUGUGUAUUGGUGGUUUGUAUUGGGGUAUAAAGUUUAUAUGCAUUCUACCGGUAUAUAUCGGUUGAUGCUAAUAUUUAGAUAAAAUGAUAGUGGGGAGGUAUUAGACACUCUAUCCGUAGAUUCGAAGGCCUUAUGGCCUCAGACUCAUAAAUAUAAGGUUUAAGCUAUAAAUGGUACUACAUGAUGCAGUGCACAUCUUCAUCUAUAUGGGGUCUCAAGGCUAUAGAUCCUUGCUCUCCCUCCUUUAAAAUAAGAUACUUGUACAUACACACCAGUACACCACAAACAUGUCAUCAGACAAAUUAAUUACUUGACUUUUUGAAAAUAUAAAUCAACCUUGAUAACAUAACUGGACAAUUAAAGAAAACAAAACUGUUUGUGUUGUUGGUAGAGAGUUUGGAUUUCUAAAAGCUUUGCACCAAUCGUCAUUCCCAUGACCCUUCCACAUGUGCUUAUACCAUUUAGGUUAUUCUUAGCCUGCCCAUACCAGUUUGAUUUCAUUUUUCGUCUAUGUUUCAGUUGAUAUGCUUGUGUGUAUUGGUGGUUUGUAUUGGGGUAUAAAGUUUAUAUGCAUUCUACCGGUAUAUAUCGGUUGAUGCUAAUAUUUAGAUAAAAUGAUAGUGGGGAGGUAUUAGACACUCUAUCCGUAGAUUCGAAGGCCUUAUGGCCCCAGACUCAUAAAUAUAAGGUUUAAGCUAUAAAUGGUACUACAUGAUGCAGUGCACAUCUUCAUCUAUAUGGGGUCUCAAGGCUAUAGAUCCUUGCUCUCCCUCCUUUAAAAUAAGAUACUUGUACAUACACACCAGUACACCACAAACAUGUCAUCAGACAAAUUAAUUACUUGACUUUUUGAAAAAUAUAAAUCAACCUUGAUAACAUCACUGGACAAUUAAAGAAAACAAAAUUGUUUGUGUUGUUGGUAGAGAGUUUGGAUUUCUAAAAGCUUUGCACCAAUCGUCAUUCCCAUGACCCUUCCACAUGUGCUUACAUUAAUAUACAGAUUAUUGUAAUCUGCUUCAAUCCCCCUACUAGAAGCUAAAAGAACAAAUCUAGAGCAAAAUAAGGGCUUAUUAGCAAUCUCUAACUCCAGCUUUAUUACCGACACACUUUCUGCCAAGCACCCUGAAAGCUGAUGCGAAAGUAUGAUUUACGUUCUAUUUAAAUUUUAAAUAUUAAAUUAUGUUAAAUGCUACAAAGGUUUUGAUGGAACCGGUCGUAUUGAACCGUGAAAGAGCCGCAACGGACCGCCUAAAAAGGAUGCCUAUCUUCAGGUUGUUCGACGACUACCGUGAUGAAGAUUUUUAUGGGCUACCGCGGAAAUACAGUAUUGUCGCUCGGGUAGAAGUUAAAUUCCCGAUUGAACCACGUUUUCGUGACAGACAACAUUUCGUUUUAUCUGACAUCAAUGGAGCCAAGAUCGAGGCCAUAACAUAUAUGUAUGAGACAGUCAAACAUUUCGAUAAUUUGCUCCAUGAAAAGCAUGUUUACAAGAUGCAUAAUGUAAAAUUCAGCCUUCAUCCGGGUGAAUUUAAUUUUCGUCAUCUAAAUGGUUCCAUGGAAUUGUAUCUUGACCAACAAACUAUCGUGGAGCCAUACACGGUUCCAAUUCAAAUGGCGCCAUUCCCAAAACAAAUACUUUUGAACCUUGCUGAUGUUGCCGAGUUGCCAAACAGGACUUUAGUCGACAUUAUGGCUAUUGUAGUCCACUUUGAUACAAUUCAUCGCACAAUGUGGGGCCCUUUCAGAAAGAUUGUUAUAAUGGAUGCUAGGGGAUAUUUACAUAUCAUUAAAGUUUGGGGUGACCUACUAAACAAAAAUGCACUCCGCUGGGUGUUGGCUAAGGAGGAUUAUGGCAUAAUAAUUGGUACUAUGUUUAGACGGUUCAGAAGACAAGAGAUUUAAAUGUGUAAUUCUAGAGUGCCUCGAGUCUUCGGAUCAUACCGCAAUACACUUCAAUCUGUUCCAUCACAACACCCAUCAUUUUGGACCAAUUCAAAAAGCUUUGGUGGCGCGGAACAACCGUCAGUUUGUUGUUACAUUUCUUGAAGAACAAAGGCGUAGAUAGAUUCUACAAAUUCGCAAAGAGCAAUAAUUGGGACUAUGUUUAAGCGUGUUAUUGAUCAACCAAAAGCAACAUGAGGCAAACUUGAAUGUCUAUGAAUUUUGUUUGUAAUACCUAUGACAUGGGUUUAAUAAGAGAUAUUUUGUGAAAUUUUUGAUCGUGCAAAUGAUUAAUAAAUAUGUUGUGCGAAAAAUUGAAUUCCCAUAAUAAUCUGUAUGGGUUACACAUAUUUAGAUAAUGCAAACAGCCUCCAAAUAUGUAAUGUAUUAUAUUAUGAGAAAAAAUAUAAACUUUGUAUUUUGUCUAACAUGCGCUAGGGGUGCCUGAGGGAAAGGCGUCGGCAUCAGGGUCGGAUGAGGCAUGUAGGUUGGAGUCGAUGUCAUCAGCUUCAUCUGGUGUUCUAAACUCUCCUUCUCCAAUUUCAGCUUCUGCUUCUCAUCACGAAGCUCAUCCUUCUCGGCCUGGAAUUUAAAGAAACAACAACUGAUUCAUACAUAUUGGAGAUCACAGGGGAGAGGUCAGAAAAGAAGUAACUUUGUGUCCUUAAAAAAUCCAGAUCCAGUGGAGUAGUUAAGGCCUAGCAGUCACAUUGAACAGUACAAUAUACUGUAAUCAACAGCCUGAUCAAAUCAUUAGGCAUCAUUAAACCAUCAUUUACAUAGACAGGUUCGAUGGGCACAAUAUUAACAUUGUCUUCCUGGGGCUUCUUAGAAGAUAAAUCUUGUGUGCCACCAAGUGCUUGUGAAGAGCUGACAUCCUUGUCCUCAACUUGAAUACCCAGAGAUCCUUCAUCUAAAACAGCAUGAGAUUCUGAAGGUGGAAUGGUCUCCUCAUUGUUCGACAAGUGUCGCUGUGAUCCCUCACAAUAGUUUGCUUCUUCACAGGAACUGCUCCCAUUUUCAAUAAACUUGAAAGGCAAAUCAAGAUUAGAGUUCUGCCGACCGUGACCAAGGAUUUUCGCUUCCCGUCCCAGCGAAGCCGACCACGCCUCCCAGCAUCGCCAUGCCCGCACCUCCCACCAUCCUCCCGACAAGCUCGCGUUAUAGAGGAUAUGAAGCAGUCUAUUUUUGUCUAUUAUGAACUUGGUAACUUCUACCAAAACCAUAGGAGGGCGUCUUACAAUCACAGUAUGGAAGCCUGCUGCCUUUCCCGAAGCUAUGUUCCGAGUGCUGUCGUCAAAAAAUAUCUGAAACAUAGAUUAUUAGAACCUUACAUGGCUUCAACGGAGGGCUUGCAGACUUGCAGAGGAUGGGUGAUAUGGGUCUGAACCCAUCGGAUUCAUUCAGAUCAGCCAAGUCGGGGAACGUUUCAUCUGGGAACAGCAUGCCGAACGCGCUCGGACCAUUGCAGGGAUUCAGUGUCUCAAAGCAGAUCACACCAUCGAAGCAACCCUGUAAACCAAGUCUGCAUAGAGCUUCCUCCGCGUGAGCUUUGUCAGAAUUUGUGAACACCUGCGGUAACCAGGUUUUAGGUUGAUAAAAAAUGGUCUCCGUGACCAUUUUUUCAAGCAUAUCAUCUCAGAAUACAGCAAGAAAACAGAAAACAAAACUAGCUGGUUGGUAUUCGUACUAUUUUCUCUGUCGAAUUGAAAGUAGGAGGGUCCUCAAAACAGGGUCAGGCCUUAGAUUGUGAUAUGGCAAGGUACCAUGAACAGUUGCAUGGAACUCAUCGUUGUCAAAUUCGUAGCCUAAUGCCUGCAGGGAAUAAAGAUCGCAUGAUCAGAAAGGAGAAGAAAAUAUAGGACAAAUCGUUGUAAAGAUUCAACAAGCAACAAAUGGAACGUGAGUUUGUACCUUAAGGCCAGCCAUUGUGGUGCCAUAUUCCUUGUACAGGUCCAGGCACAUGUCUGCAACUUGGCUUUCUUCAAUAUGCAGGUGGUGCCGCAUGUAAUGUGGUUCAAGAUUUUAGGUUUUAAAAUUAGUUUUCUAGUUGUGCAUACCACUAUUUUGUUGGUAAAAUGAAGCCUCCAAUGAAAUGGAUGGCUGCUCACUUCUAUUGUUACUGCUCUCGCAAAUCCAAUUUCCACUUGUGUGAA